rnacentral:rRNA from 1 species
UACGUAGGUGGCAAGCGUUGUCCGGAUUUACUGGGCGUAAAGAGCGCGCAGGCGGCUGGGCAAGUCCGAUGUGAAAGCUUCCGGCUUAACUGGAAAAUUGCAUCGGAAACUGCUCAGCUUGACGGUGGGAGAGGGUAGCGGAAUUCCCGGUGUAGUGGUGAAAUGCGUAGAUAUCUGGAGGAACACCGGUGGCGAAGGCGGCAUCCUGGACCGGCACUGACGCUGAGGAGCGAAAGCCAGGGGAGCAAACGGG